AAUCUGUGUUGAGGAUAACGUCGAAUCAAAUUUUUAUACCUUUCCCAAGCUUCAUAGAAUGAUUCGAAAUCAUUUUACUUGAAUUGACUAAUCUCAUUCCAGAGU